GGCGUACGGGUGCGUAACGCGUAUGUAACCUACCCUAUACAGGGGGAUAGCCCGGAGAAAUCUGGAUUAAUACCCCAUGGCACUGCGAAUCAGCAUUGGUUUGCAUUUAAAGAUUUAUCGGUAUAGGAUGGACAUGCGUCUGAUUAGCUAGUUGGGGGUGUAACGGACCACCAAGGCGACGAUCAGUAGGGGUUCUGAGAGGAAGGUCCCCCACACUGGUACUGAGAUACGGGCCAGACUCCUACGGGAGGCAGCAGUAGGGAAUAUUGGGCAAUGGACGAGAGUCUGACCCAGCCAUGCCGCGUGCAGGAAGACGGCGUUCUGCGUUGUAAACUGCUUUUAUCUGGGAAGAAAAGGCCCAUGCGUGGGACAUUGCCGGUACCAGAUGAAUAAGCACCGGCUAACUCCGUGCCAGCAGCCGCGGUAAUACGGAGGGUGCAAGCGUUGUCCGGAUUUAUUGGGUUUAAAGGGUGCGUAGGCGGUUUAUUAAGUCAGUGGUGAAAGUUUUGGGCUCAACCCAGAAAUUGCCAUUGAUACUGUUAGACUUGAGUAUUGCAGGGGUACAUGGAAUUGAUGGUGUAGCGGUGAAAUGCAUAGAUACCAUCAGGAACACCGAUAGCGAAGGCAUUGUACUGGGCAGUUACUGACGCUGAUGCACGAAAGCAUGGGUAGCGAACAGGAUUAGAUACCCUGGUAGUCCAUGCCGUAAACGAUGAUUACUCGCUGUUAUGCUCUAGUAGUGUAGUGGCCAAGCGAAAGCGUUAAGUAAUCCACCUGGGGAGUACGCUCGCAAGGGUGAAA
rnacentral:rRNA from 1 species